GACGUAGGAUGCAAGCGUUGUCCGGAUUUAUUGGGCGUAAAGCGAACGUAGGCGGUUGCCUAAGUCUAGGGUGAAAGACCACAGCUCAACUGUGGGCCCGCCCCGGAUACUGGGUGGCUUGAGGAGCGCAGAGGAAAGUGGAAUUCCUAGUGUAGCGGUGAAAUGCGUAGAUAUUAGGAGGAACACCAGUGGCGAAAGCGACUUUCUGGGCGUUUCCUGACGCUGAGGUUCGAAAGCCAGGGGAG
rnacentral:rRNA from 1 species